UACGGGGGGGGCAAGCGUUGUUCGGAAUUACUGGGCGUAAAGGGUUUGUAGGUGGCUUGCUAAGUCAGACGUGAAAUCCCUCAGCUUAACUGGGGAACUGCGUCUGAGACUGGCAAGCUUGAGUGCAGGAGAGGAACGCGGAAUUCCAGGUGUAGCGGUGAAAUGCGUAGAUAUCUGGAGGAACACCGGUGGCGAAGGCGGCGUUCUGGGCUGUAACUGACACUGAGGAACGAAAGCCAGGGGAGCAAACGGG
rnacentral:rRNA from 1 species